GAAAGACACUAAAAGAGAACUGUGAGGCUUUGAGAUCUAUUAAAGUGGAAAAGGAAGCUGAAUUAAAAAUGUUGAAGAUGAACAUAGGCGUGACUGAUGAACUCUUUGGACAAAGCAAGAUGGUCAUAGACAAGAAGCUGAGAAUGAAAGAACGUGAGAGGGUGGAAAAGGAGAAGCAGCUCUCUCAUCAGCAGAAAAGAAGGUGAAAUUGGCUGCAGAAGAAAUGCAGCGCUGCAAGUGAGUUCAGCUUCUGACCGUCAGCAACUUAUAACACCCUUGCUGGAUUUAAACUUUUGUACAAUGUUGAGACCCAAUUCAUAUACAAAUACAAACAAAUGUUCAGAAGACAUUUAUAUAGAGAUUUCCCUCAAGAAUGAACAAUGUUAAGUUUUACAAAUGUCAAGUUAAAAUAUUAACUUAAAAAAAAUGAAGUUCCGAAAAAUUUCCUGAUCCUUAAUGCUGGCCAGACUGUGUGGAAACGUGGUUCACAAAAAUGUUUCUGGAGGAGGUAAAAAUUGUUAGAAACCUUAGGGAAGCAGUUUGGUGUCAGACGAAUCUCAUCAAUAAAUAUGUGCAUGCCACUUUAGAGACCCAGUUGUUGUAGUCCUGAGGAACAUGAUCAGGAUAGAAGGAAAAGAAGAAUCGAGCUGUAUGAUGAAAGGUACUCAUUGCAGGAUAAAUUAGGGAGAUACUGAGAAUCAGCAAGGGAAUUCUAUCAACUGAGAAGCUGGCAGGCAUUCGAUAAUAAAUAAGGAAACAAAGCAGCAAUCGCUUUGAUCCUACUUACUUUUGUAACCUCAUGAAAUGUGUCUUAUAGGAUUGGAUGAUAUGUAUAAGGGUACAGUUUGGAUAAUGGGAACAUGGACAGAUUAUUUAAAAUCAUCCUCAAUAUUGUGCUUUAUCUGAUGAAAGCAAUUGUCACUCAUAGGCAACAAACUGAUCAAAUGCGGCAACAGGUGCAGCAAGUAGAGUCCACCUUCAGACACCAGGUAACCUGCAUUCUGCCCAAAGCUCCUGGAUCCUUCAGCACCCAAUGCAGAGGGUUACAAUGGCCCUUGGAAGCCCUAACAUAGGGUUUUUAACCUGUUGGCUUUUCAGAUCGCUGUGCAUGAGAAGAAUGCUCAAGAUAGUUGGAUCAAGGCUCGGAUUUUGGAGAGGGAGAUAGUGGAGCAGAGCAGGGAAGCCGCUCACUUGAAACACAGAUUGGAGAUAAUGUCCCAAAAGAGGCUUCCUGAGGGAUACAGGCCGUACGAACCAAUGUUGCAAAGACCUGGGAUGCAGAACCCUGCACAGAGAGGACGAUGAUUUUGAAAGAGGAGCCUGAGCCGUGAUAAAAGGCUAUGGCAAUUGAUUAUGGUUUUCCCUGCCCAAUCCUGCCUCCUCCACUUUUAUCUUUCCUAUUGUCUCCCCUAAUACACCCUUUAUGGUUCUAACUCAGUGUCAGCGUCUGCUUUUUGGAGGACCAACCGACUCACUCCAGGGAGUGUACACAGUGUGAGUCUUGUACGCGCAGUUCAAAAACAGGCAGAAACCAUGGGAAUGAGGCAGAAGCAAGGUUAUUUUGGGAGGGG
ensembl:lncRNA